rnacentral:rRNA from 1 species
AGAGUGAACGCUGGCGGUAGGCCUAACACAUGCAAGUCGAACGGCAGCACAGGAGAGCUUGCUCUCUGGGUGGCGAGUGGCGGACGGGUGAGGAAUACAUCGGAAUCUACCUUUUCGUGGGGGAUAACGUAGGGAAACUUACGCUAAUACCGCAUAAGACCUUCGGGUGAAAGCCGGGGACCUUCGGGCCUGGCGCGGAUAGAUGAGCCGAUGUCGGAUUAGCUUGUUGGCGGGGUAAAGGCCCACCAAGGCGACGAUCCGUAGCGUGGUCUGAGAGGAUGA